GAUGAACGCUAGCGAUAGGCUUAACACAUGCAAGUCGAGGGGCAGCAUGAACAAAGCUUGCUUUGUUUGAUGGCGACCGGCGCACGGGUGCGUAACACGUAUGCAACUUACCCAUAAAGCGAGGAUAACCCGGAGAAAUUCGGACUAAUACUCGAUGGUAUUAUUGGGAGGCAUCUUCUAAUAAUUAAAGAUUUAUCGAUUAUGGAUAGGCAUGCGCAUGAUUAGCUAGUUGGUGAGGUAACGGCUCACCAAGGCGACGAUCAUUAGGGGUUCUGAGAGGAAGGUCCCCCACACUGGUACUGGGACACGGACCAGACUCCUACGGGAGGCAGCAGUGAGGAAUAUUGGUCAAUGGACGAGAGUCUGAACCAGCCAAGUCGCGUGAAGGAAGACUGCCCUAAGGGUUGUAAACUUCUUUUGUGUGGGAAUAAAAAGAGGGACGUGUCCCUCAUUGUAUGUACCAUACGAAUAAGGAUCGGCUAACUCCGUGCCAGCAGCCGCAGUAAUAC
rnacentral:rRNA from 1 species